UACGUAGGUGGCAAGCGUUGUCCGGAUUUACUGGGCGUAAAGAGCGCGCAGGCGGCUGGUCAAGUCCGAUGUGAAAUCUCCCGGCUUAACUGGGAAACUGCAUCGGAAACUGAUCGGCUUGAAGGUGGGAGAGGGUAGUGGAAUUCCCGGUGUAGUGGUGAAAUGCGUAGAUAUCGGGAGGAACACCAGUGGCGAAGGCGACUACCUGGCCCAAUUCUUGACGCUGAGGCGCGAAAGCUAGGGGAGCGAACGGG
rnacentral:rRNA from 1 species